GAGAGUGUAGCUCAAUGUAGAGUACAUGCUUAGCAUGCACGAAGUCCUGGGGUUCAAUCCCCAGUAUCUCA
rnacentral:tRNA from 1 species